AUCGAUAUUGUAACACAGAUUGCAUUAAAAGACAAUUGUAACAUUAUCAAAACUAAGAACAUAAAAAUGAAUAAUACAUAAAAUAUUGAAUAAAACAUGAGUCGAUGCAAAUAACAGAAUAAAACAAUGUGAUCACUAAGACACAUAGUAGUUGUACUCUGAUGAAGUAAAACACAAAGAAAAGUCUUCAAGUGUAAAACGUAGUUUAAUUAGAGAGAAAAUCAGUGUUGUAAAUAAAGACUUUGUCUACAGAAACAAAAUCCUAAUAAACAGUGAGUUCACCAGUAGUAAUAACACUAUACCUUCAGAUACUCCUAGACCUUGGACCUCUCACUCACAUCUAGGGCCCAGAGGUUUUCCUUAACCCAGCCACAUUUAGGGUCCAGAGGUUUUCCUUAACAUGUGAACCAACCACAUCUAGGGCCCAGAGGUUUUCCUUAACAUGUGAACCAACCACAUCUAGGGCCCAGAGGUUUUCCUUAACAUGUGACCCAACCACACCUUGGGCCCAGAGGUUUUCCUUAACCCAGCCACAUUUAGGGUCCAGAGGUUUUCCUUAACAUGUGAACCAACCACAUCUAGGGCCCAGAGGUUUUUCUUAACUGGUGAACCAACCACAUCUAGGGCCCAGAGGUUUUCCUUAACCCAGCCACAUUUAGGGUCCAGAGGUUUUCCUUAACAUGUGAACCAACCACAUCUAGGGCCCAGAGGUUUUUCUUAACUGGUGAACCAACCACAUCUAGGGCCCAGAGGUUUUCCUUAACCCAGCCACAUUUAGGGUCCAGAGGUUUUCCUUAACAUGUGAACCAACCACAC